CUGCUGUGUCAUGAACAAAGAAAUGAAGAAUCAGUGUGUCUCUCCCCACCAGGAGUCCAGUGAAGGCUCAGCCCCUAUCUACAGCACUUCUUUGAAUACCACAUCAGAAAGGAGUUUCCUUGUGAAAUCAAGAACCUUCCUCAGCAAAUGCAAAGAAGCAGAGACAGAGUACCAUGUUAUGGAUCUUUGGACUGUAUUUGCCACAGCUUUUCCAGCUUCAGAUCAAAGGGGCACACGACAGGAAUUUCAGAUGUGGACAACUGUAAGCAUAUCAGAGAGCGGCAGAGUAAUAUACGUGCUGAAUGACCAUACCCUGCUCUUUCUGUGAUCAUUGCCUGUGAUCCACGGCUGUCCUUCUUGUGCUGGAUGCAGCAAGUAACACAUGGCCCUGCCCUGUGAUGAACCAGGAGCUCCAAAAAGAAGAGCAUAGUGAGCAAGGUGUGCAGUGAUAAGGAAGUGAUGUCUAGGCUGUUGACGGGACAACAUGCCAGUAUAGUAUUCUCCUGGCAGUAUGACUUGUGUGUGUAUUCAGACAGACCAAACAUUUCCUCCCACUUUUUACCCUCAAGCCUGAUAGUAGUUAUAUAAAAAUAGUUCUUUUUCCUUUUCUGGAAAACAAAUUGAACUUUCUUCUUUGCAGAAGACUGCACAUAUAGAAUGAAAUGAAGUGAAACGCAAUGAGGUGAAAGGAAACAAGCUAUAGAACACAUAGAUCAGAGCCUAGAACCCAGGAACUCCUCAAAUAUGAUUCAUGGAACUGUGAUCACCCUCCGUGCAGAGGGGCUCAAUUUAAGCUUUUGUGGAUGAGAUAUCCACGAAGGACAAGUGUAGGAAGAAAGUGAAUGAGUUAUCUGGGACUCUCAACCCAACACAGGACAUAAGCUUCACACUGCAUAGCUGAAAGUUCUCUGUUAGCAACCAAGACUGUCCUGUUAGUCUCAAUGCAGAGGAAAACAUGUUUCGGAGAGUCCUUUCCCCCUCGGCACUUACUGCAUAAAGCUGCUCCUGUGCUGGGUCAUGGCCAGUGGGUGCAGAUCUGAAGCAACGUCUCUGGCAGGGUAGGAUAGCAGAAAUAAAAACUAGGUGGAAAGGAGAAAAGGAUUAAAAUAGUAGUUAACUGUAGCUUCAAGACACAAAAGUUACUCAAGGUUUUUCCUUUGUAGAAAACUCAUCUCCCAAUACUCCUAAAGGUCUUCAGGACACAUUAAGCCUGUAAAACCAGGCUCUAGGUUUGUGAUUUUCACCUAUAAAUUGCACUUCCUCCACCACCAAGGAAGUAGCAAGACUGAUGGGCACCAGCUCUCAGCGUCAAACCUAUGUAGAUGGCUUACUUGUAUUCUGACAUAAUGUGUUAGAUAUGCACCUGAGAGACAGGAGGAAAAGACGUCCUAGGUCACCUGUUUGAAGACAGACCCUUAAAUAUACAACUCCAGCUCAAAAUGCACCUCAAUUCUCUCAGUGCCUGAAGUCCACUCUUGACAGCACAUAAUAAAAUCUCUGCAUAAUAAACCCUUCUGGUGCACCUCACUGACUCAUAAUGAAAAUUAUUCUUUUGCAAUGAGAGUCAGCAAACCAGCAAACUUAUUCCACAAAGGAACGAUAGGUUCCUUAUUUCAG
ensembl:lincRNA